rnacentral:rRNA from 1 species
GGGUCAGUAGGUUGGUCGUGCCACCGGUACGUACUGGUCUCACUGAUUCCUCCUUCCUGAAGAACCGUAAUGCCAUUAAUUUGGUGUUGCGGGGAAACAGGACUGUUACUUUGAAAAAAUUGGAGUGUUUAAAGCAAGCUAACGCCUGAAUACAUUAGCAUGGAAUAAUGAAAUAGGACGAUCGAUCCUAUUUUGUUGGUUUCUAGGAUUGACGUA